rnacentral:lncRNA from 1 species
GGUUAAAAAAAAAAAAAAGAUGCAAGAGUUCUGAAUUGGAGCUGGAAAAUGGUGUAGAAAUUACACCUGGAGGGGCUGGGAUUGUGGCUCACUGGUAGCUCGCCUAGCAUGUGUGAGGACUUGGGUUUGAUCCUCAGCACCACCUAAAAAUAAAGAUGUUAUGUCCAAGUACAACUAAAAAUAAUAAAUAUUUUUAAAAAACAAAAGAAAUUAUACCUGGAACAGACUUCUAGGGAAUUUUAAGAGUCUGGACAAAGGAAUUUCACUAUUUAAAUUUCCUAUAUUACUUCCAGAAGAAAGAAAAACCAUUGAGGAGUCGUUACAACUACAGGAUAUGUGUGCUAAAAUAGGACCUAAAUAUUUAGGAAUCUUGGUGUGGGGGGAGGAACUAUUCUAUGGUAGGCAGGGUAAGGGAAGUUUAUAGGAAUGGAGUAAUUAACCAUGUGGUCUGUGCCUUGGCACCAAGGCCUGGCCUGGCCUGGACAGCUCUAAGAAUAUGUAACUCCAGUUUUGUAUCGUAGGUAUUUUCAUUCUAAUCCUUCCCCUAUGCAGGGCACUGGGAGUUUACAAGUCUCUUUGGCCAUUAAGUUUUCCUUCCUCCCCCUCAGCCUCUUUUCCUUUCCAGAAAAACCUUUUACCUGCUUGCUUUUCCUUCCAUAAUUAAUUUUCAAAAAUUUAAGUGGCAAAUAGUUUAUUAGGAAACAAGUCCAUUUCUCGACUGUACCUGCUUAUGAUAAGAAAUCAGUCUAUUCUUCCAGCAGAUAUCUUAAACAUGGAUGAUUCUCCAGCUCUGUGGAAGACAGUGCUUGUCAAGAGCAUGGCAGUGCUGGGCAGGGUUGUCUUGGAAGGGACCCAUGCCCAAGUAGAACCAACUAUCCAUCUUAAAAUCUACAAGUUCGGUGAACACAACAUUGAUGACUUAACCUCUUUUUAAAAAUUUUAUUUUUUGUGGCACUGGAGUACCUUUCCUUUUCUUAUCCUUCUCUAAUUCAGUGUGUUUUCCUCUCAACUGUUCCAUCCUUGCACUUUGCUCAUGUCAUUCUCCCACAUUUUUUCCCUAUCAGUACACCUAGAUGGGUAUAUUCUUGGAGCACUGUAUUGAAGCCUGUCUACGAAACUUUGCUAAGUAGACUCUUGCCUCACUCACUAAACUGUGCCCCUCAGACACAUUGAGAGCACUCCUUUGUUGUUAAGGUGAAUGAAAAGUACUUGGGAGUUUGGCGGACUUCAAUUGGAUUUCCUGUCUGCAUCCCCCACUAGCUUUGUGAUCUCUAAUAAGCCAAUUUCUCUGAACCCAGUGUCUUGAGACUCAAACCUUACCUUAAGUCUGUUGUGUAAUGGGAAAUGUGAAUAAUGUAUGGGAAGUACUUAGGACAAUUCCUGGUAGAUAGUAGAUAUCUAGUACACAUUCACUUAUAUUGCUAAGUUUUUUUUUUUUUUCCUGGAUUUAAAAAAGAAAUCAGGGAACCAGAACUGGGAGAAUAAAGAUUGGAGACAGGUGUUGAGGCCGUGUAUGAAGCAUAUACAAAGCACUCCAAGUUGGGAUGUGCUCAUACCCAAAGGUAAGACGGAACAGGAUCAGAUGCUGGAAGAGCCAUGAAGGAUUGUGUAAGAUGUCAGUAACCAGAGGUCAGGGCCAAGAUAUGGUGACCACUGACAGUGCUGGAAUCAUGCACCAAAUGUUCUUGAUCAUGGUGCAGUUAAAAAAGAAAAAAAAGAAUUCAGCUAGUAUUGUACACCCUUCUACCAAGUCCUGUUCUAAAUUACUAUCUCAUUUAGUCCUCAAAAUGGUCCUAUGAGUUAGGUGCCACUAUAAUUGUUCCCAAUCUAGAGAUGAGAAUACUAAGGCAGAUAGUUGAAAUGACUUGCCUAAAGCAGCAUAAGUAGAGGAGCCUGGAUGGCAACUUAGGUAUUCUGGCUCUGGAGCCCAUGCUUUUCACAACUUCCUGGUAAAUAUCUCCAACCAGAGAGAUUGCUGUUCCAGAGGUAAACCCAAAGAGAAGCAGCCAGCAAAGGGCCAGCCAAUCAGAGUCCUUAAUGUAUGCUUAUUAACAUCAAAUGAUGGAACAUACUACUUGUGAAGGCCUAUUCUGUUCCCCGCAUUGUGCCAAUGGAUUUUGUCUGCAUUCUUUUAUAUGCCCCAUCACUAUUAUACAAGCCAUUAUUGUACUUAUAAAUGAAAAGAAAAAAAUGGGGCUUAUGGAAUUUUGUUUUUCUAUUUUGUAUCAAAAGAGAGCUACUAUAUCUGUUCCUCAACCCAUCUAGCUUCUGAUCCAAGGCCUCCACUGAAACACCUCUUGCUAAAUCCAGGGGACACUUUCUGAUGUUCAGCUCACUGGUCCUCUCUUCUGUACUGUGCUGUGAUAGCCACUUCAUCUUUCAUUGCUUCCAGACCACAGUUUUUUCUAGGACCAUUUCUCUGACCCGCUCCCCUGCCCCAACCCAUUUCCCUAUUUCUUUUUCUUGCCCUGGUCUGUAAAUGUGGGUCUUCUUCAGGAGCACAUUCACAGCCCUUCUGAAUCUACAUUUUCCUUGGAUGAUCUUACCCACUACCAAUGAAAUGCCAGAGGCAGGGGAGACGCUACCAUACCCUUGACACCCAUCAGCUUGAUUUGGAAGUUUUUUGUUUUAUACAAGGUCUUCUGUAUCACCCAGGCUGGUCUUGAACUCAUGGGCUCAAGCCAUCCUUCCAUCUCAGCCUCCCUGAGUAGCUCUGACCAUAGGUAUGCACCACUGUGCCUAGCUUACCUAUCACCUUGAGACAAAGAUUAGAGACUUCUGCCCAUAUAAGCAUCUCAAAUUCAAGUGUAUCAGGUUAAACACAUGCAAACUUUUCUUGCACCAACUCAACCCUGCCUGCCCUGACCCCACCCCACUCUGCUCCUCUGUUGUUGUAGUUGAGGUGCUGACAUCCACCCAGUUACCCAAACACAGAACCUGUAAGUCAUGUUUGACUUUGCUUCUGUGGCC